rnacentral:rRNA from 1 species
CCGUCGGAAUCUGGGAGGACCAUCUCCUAAGGCUAAAUACUCUCUAGUGACCGAUAGUGAACCAGUACCGUGAGGGAAAGGUGAAAAGCACCCCGGAAGGGGAGUGAAAUAGAACCUGAAACCGUGUGCUUACAAGUAGUCAGAGCCCGUUAAUGGGUGAUGGCGUGCCUUUUGUAGAAUGAACCGGCGAGUUACGAUUUGAUGCAAGGUUAAGCAGUAAAUGUGGAGCCGUAGCGAAAGCGAGUCUGAAUAGGGCGUUUAGUAUUUGGUCGUAGACCCGAAACCAGGUGAUCUACCCUUGGUCAGGUUGAAGUUCAGGUAACACUGAAUGGAGGACCGAACCGACUUACGUUGAAAAGUGAGCGGAUGAACUGAGGGUAGCGGAGAAAUUCCAAUCGAACCUGGAGAUAGCUGGUUCUCUCCGAAAUAGCUUUAGGGCUAGCCUCAAGUGAUGAUUAUUGGAGGUAGAGCACUGUUUGGACGAGGGGCCCCUCUCGGGUUACCGAAUUCAGACAAACUCCGAAUGCCAAUUAAUUUAACUUGGGAGUCAGAACAUGGGUGAUAAGGUCCGUGUUCGAAAGGGAAACAGCCCAGACCACCAGCUAAGGUCCCAAAAUAUAUGUUAAGUGGAAAAGGAUGUGGCGUUGCCCAGACAACUAGGAUGUUGGCUUAGAAGCAGCCAUCAUUUAAAGAGUGCGUAAUAGCUCACUAGUCGAGUGACACUGCGCCGAAAAUGUACCGGGGCUAAACAUAUUACCGAAGCUGUGGAUUGUCCUUUGGACAAUGGUAGGAGAGCGUUCUAAGGGCGUUGAAGCAUGAUCGUAAGGACAUGUGGAGCGCUUAGAAGUGAGAAUGCCGGUGUGAGUAGCGAAAGACGGGUGAGAAUCCCGUCCACCGAUUGACUAAGGUUUCCAGAGGAAGGCUCGUCCGCUCUGGGUUAGUCGGGUCCUAAGCUGAGGCCGACAGGCGUAGGCGAUGGAUAACAGGUUGAUAUUCCUGUACCACCUAUAAUCGUUUUAAUCGAUGGGGGGACGCAGUAGGAUAGGCGAAGCGUGCGAUUGGAUUGCACGUCUAAGCAGUAAGGCUGAGUAUUAGGCAAAUCCGGUACUCGUUAAGGCUGAGCUGUGAUGGGGAGAAGACAUUGUGUCUUCGAGUCGUUGAUUUCACACUGCCGAGAAAAGCCUCUAGAUAGAAAAUAGGUGCCCGUACCGCAAACCGACACAGGUAGUCAAGAUGAGAAUUCUAAGGUGAGCGAGCGAACUCUCGUUAAGGAACUCGGCAAAAUGACCCCGUAACUUCGGGAGAAGGGGUGCUCUUUAGGGUUAACGCCCAGAAGAGCCGCAGUGAAUAGGCCCAAGCGACUGUUUAUCAAAAACACAGGUCUCUGCUAAACCGUAAGGUGAUGUAUAGGGGCUGACGCCUGCCCGGUGCUGGAAGGUUAAGAGGAGUGGUUAGCUUCUGCGAAGCUACGAAUCGAAGCCCCAGUAAACGGCGGCCGUAACUAUAACGGUCCUAAGGUAGCGAAAUUCCUUGUCGGGUAAGUUCCGACCCGCACGAAAGGCGUAACGAUUUGGGCACUGUCUCAACGAGAGACUCGGUGAAAUCAUAGUACCUGUGAAGAUGCAGGUUACCCGCGACAGGACGGAAAGACCCCGUGGAGCUUUACUGUAGCCUGAUAUUGAAAUUCGGCACAGCUUGUACAGGAUAGGUAGGAGCCUUUGAAACGUGAGCGCUAGCUUACGUGGAGGCGCUGGUGGGAUACUACCCUAGCUGUGUUGGCUUUCUAACCCGCACCACUUAUCGUGGUGGGAGACAGUGUCAGGCGGGCAGUUUGACUGGGGCGGUCGCCUCCUAAAAGGUAACGGAGGCGCUCAAAGGUUCCCUCAGAAUGGUUGGAAAUCAUUCAUAGAGUGUAAAGGCAUAAGGGAGCUUGACUGCGAGACCUACAAGUCGAGCAGGGUCGAAAGACGGACUUAGUGAUCCGGUGGUUCCGCAUGGAAGGGCCAUCGCUCAACGGAUAAAAGCUACCCCGGGGAUAACAGGCUUAUCUCCCCCAAGAGUUCACAUCGACGGGGAGGUUUGGCACCUCGAUGUCGGCUCAUCGCAUCCUGGGGCUGUAGUCGGUCCCAAGGGUUGGGCUGUUCGCCCAUUAAAGCGGUACGCGAGCUGGGUUCAGAACGUCGUGAGACAGUUCGGUCCCUAUCCGUCGUGGGCGUAGGAAAUUUGAGAGGAGCUGUCCUUAGUACGAGAGGACCGGGAUGGACAUACCUCUGGUGUACCAGUUGUCGUGCCAACGGCAUAGCUGGGUAGCUAUGUGUGGACGGGAUAAGUGCUGAAAGCAUCUAAGCAUGAAGCCCCCCUCAAGAUGAGAUUUCCCAACUUCGGUUAUAAGAUCCCUCAAAGAUGAUGAGGUUAAUAGGUUCGAGGUGGAAGCAUGGUGACAUGUGGAGCUGACGAAUACUAAUCGAUCGAAGACUUAAUCAA